AUACAGAGGGUGCGAGCGUUAAUCGGAAUUACUGGGCGUAAAGCGCGCGUAGGCGGCUUGGUCAGUCGGAUGUGAAAGCCCCGGGCUCAACCUGGGAAUGGCAUUCGAUACUGCCAGGCUAGAGUAUGGGAGAGGGAAGUGGAAUUUCCGGUGUAGCGGUGAAAUGCGUAGAUAUCGGAAGGAACACCAGUGGCGAAGGCGACUUCCUGGCCCAAUACUGACGCUGAGGUGCGAAAGCGUGGGAGCAAACAGGAUUAGAAACCCUAGUAGUCC
rnacentral:rRNA from 1 species